CGUUAAAAAUGGCCCGUUUAAAAUAAACGCUAAAAGAACAAACAAUUUCGCACUCGCAGCAUAGUCUGCCACCGCGCGUCGGCCUUAGGUCACCUGCAGCUUAAGAUCCCGGCGUCGACCAUGCAGGAAACCUUCCUUAAAGUUCCCGGUAUAAGGAAGGGCUUACGGGAUAGGAUGACUGGCGUCGUGCCGGCGGGCCGCCAGCUGUCCGAAGCUUAAACUACCGGCUGCGCUCGGAGAAAGCCUCGUGGAAGUGUUUUCGGACGAGAGUUCGAUUCUCUCCGCCUCCACCA
rnacentral:tmRNA from 1 species